GACGAACGCUGGCGGCGUGCGUAAUACAUGCAAGUCGAGCGAAGUUUUUCUGGUGCUUGCACUAGAAAAACUUAGCGGCGAACGGGUGAGUAACACGUAAAGAACCUGCCUCAUAGACUGGGACAGCUAUUGGAAACGAUAGCUAAUACCGGAUAACAGUAUUUCUCGCAUGAGAGAUAUUUAAAAGUUGGUUAUGCUAACACUAUGAGAUGGCUUUGCGGUGCAUUAGCUAGUUGGUGGGGUAAAGGCCCACCAAGGCGACGAUGCAUAGCCGACCUGAGAGGGUGAUCGGCCACACUGGGACUGAGACACGGCCCAGACUCCUACGGGAGGCAGCAGUAGGGAAUCUUCCGCAAUGGGCGAAAGCCUGACGGAGCAACGCCGCGUGAGUGAAGAAGGAUUUCGGUUCGUAAAGCUCUGUUGUUAGGGAAGAAUGGAUAUGUAGUAACUAUACAUGUAAGAGACGGUACCUAACCAGAAAGCCACGGCUAACUACGCGCCAGCAGCCGCGGUAAUACGUAGGUGGCAAGCGUUGUCCGGAAUUAUUGGGCGUAAAGCGCGCGCAGGUGGUUUAAUAAGUCUGAUGUGAAAGCCCACGGCUCAACCGUGGAGGGUCAUUGGAAGCUGUUAAACUUGAGUGCAGGAGAGAAAAGUGGAAUUCCUAGUGUAGCGGUGAAAUGCGUAGAGAUUAGGAGGAACGCCAGUGGCGAAGGCGGCUUUUUGGCCUGUAACUGACACUGAGGCGCGAAAGCGUGGGGAGCAAACAGG
rnacentral:rRNA from 1 species